UACGGAGGGGGCUAGCGUUGUUCGGAAUCACUGGGCGUAAAGGGCGUGUAGGCGGAUCGGCAAGUCGGGCGUGAAAUCCCUGGGCUCAACCCAGGAACUGCACUCGAAACUGCCUUUCUUGAGUGCCGGAGAGGAAAGCGGAAUACCUGGUGUAGAGGUGAAAUUCGUAGAUAUCAGGUGGAACACCAGUGGCGAAGGCGGCUUUCUGGACGGUAACUGACGCUGAGACGCGAAAGCGUGGGGAGCAAACAGG
rnacentral:rRNA from 1 species